AACGAACGCUGGCGGCGCGUCUAAGGCAUGCAAGUCGAACGGUAAGGCACCUUCGGGUGUACACGAGUGGCAAACGGGUGAGUAACACGUGGAUAAUCUACCCUGAAGUGCGGAAUAACUCUAAGAAAUUAGAGCUAAUACCACAUAACACCUAUGCUUCACAUGAAGUGUAGGUCAAAGAAGCAAUUUGCUUCAGGAUGAGUCCGCGGUCUAUUAGUUUGUUGGUGAGGUAAUGGCUCACCAAGACUACGAUGGAUAGCCGGCCUGAGAGGGUGAUCGGCCACAUUGGAACUGCGACACGGUCCAGACUCCUACGGGAGGCAGCAGCUAAAAAUCUUGGUCAAUGGGCGAAAGCCUGAACCAGCGACGCCGCGUGGAUGAUGAAGGUCUUUUGGAUUGUAAAGUCCUUUUCUAUAGGAAGAAUACCUUUGCAAAAUAAGGUUGACGGUACUAUAGGAAUAAGCUCCGGCUAAUUACGUGCCAGCAGCCGCGGCAAUACGUAAGGAGCGAGCGUUGUUCGGAUUUAUUGGGCGUAAAGGGUGCGUAGGCGGAAUAGCAAGUUAGAUGUGCAAUCUUUGAGCUUAACUUAGAAACUGCGUCUAAAACUGCUAAUCUUGAGUAGUGGAGAGGAAGGCGGAAUUCCUGGUGUAGGAGUGAAAUCUUUAGAUAUCAGGAAGAACACCGGUGGCGUAGGCGGCCUUCUGGCCUCUAACUGACGCUGAUGCACGAAAGCCAGGGGAGCGAACGGGAUUAGAUACCCCGGUAGUCCUGGCCGUAAACGUUGUAUACUAGGUGUAUGAGGCAUCGAUCCCUCAUGUGCCGCAGCUAACGCAU
rnacentral:rRNA from 1 species